CACGGGGGGGAGCAAGCGUUGUUCGGAAUCACUGGGCGUAAAGGGCGUGUAGGCGGUUCGGUAAGUGAGAUGUGAAAUCCUCCGGCUCACCCGGAGACCUGCAUCUCAAACUGCCGGACUAGAGUAUGGGAGAGGACAAGGGAAUUCCUGGUGUAGCGGUGAAAUGCGUAGAUAUCAGGAGGAACACCGGUGGCGAAAGCGCUUGUCUGGCCCAAUACUGACGCUGAGGCGCGAAAGCUAGGGGAGCAAACGGG
rnacentral:rRNA from 1 species